rnacentral:rRNA from 1 species
AUGGCGGAGACCGAGGCAGCGUCUGCGGCCGCGGCGGCGGAGGCGGGUCCGGCGGAGGAGGGGACGACCAACAAGACGGUGGUGCUGGUCGGCGUGGACGACAGCGACCACAGCUACCGCGCGCUCGAGUGGGCCGUGCGUUACGUGGCGGAGACGGCCGGCGCCGGGGCGCCGGUGGAGCUCGUCGUCGUCCACGCCAAGCCGGCCGUGUCCUCCGUCGUCACCCUCGGCGGCCCCGCCGCUGCAGGGGACGUGGUCAGGUACGUGGACGCGGACCUGCGCAGGAGGGCCGAGGAGGUCGUCGACAGGGCUCGCCGCCUCUGCGCCGCCAACUCGGUGCAGGGUGUGGUAGAGGUGAUCGACGGGGAGCCCAGGUUCGUGCUCUGCAACGCCGUGGAGAAGCACCACGCCGACCUGCUCGUCGUCGGCAGCCAUGGCUACGGCGCCAUCAAGAGGGCGUUUCUUGGGAGCGUGAGCGACUACUGCGCCCACCACGCGCACUGCUCGGUGAUGAUAGUCAAGCAGCCCAAACCCAAGGAAUGA